rnacentral:tRNA from 1 species
GCAGUGAUGGCCGAGUGGUUAAGGCGUCUGACUAGAAAGCAGUUGGGAUCUUCCUGCGUGGGUUCGAAUCCUACUCACUGCG